GACGAACGCUGGCGGCGUGCUUAACACAUGCAAGUCGAACGAUGAUGCCCAGCUUGCUGGGCGGAUUAGUGGCGAACGGGUGAGUAACACGUGAGUAACCUGCCCUUGACUUCGGGAUAACUCCGGGAAACCGGGGCUAAUACCGGAUAUGAGCCGCCUUCGCAUGGGGGUGGUUGGAAAGUUUUUCGGUCAGGGAUGGGCUCGCGGCCUAUCAGCUUGUUGGUGGGGUGAUGGCCUACCAAGGCGACGACGGGUAGCCGGCCUGAGAGGGCGACCGGCCACACUGGGACUGAGACACGGCCCAGACUCCUACGGGAGGCAGCAGUGGGGAAUAUUGCACAAUGGGCGAAAGCCUGAUGCAGCGACGCCGCGUGAGGGAUGAAGGCCUUCGGGUUGUAAACCUCUUUCAGCAGGGAAAGAAAGCGCA
rnacentral:rRNA from 1 species